CCUGAGAGAGGAGUCACUAGAAGUAGAAAGGGUAUUUGCUCACUCACCUGGUGCUCCGUGAGCCGGGAUCCCACAGCUGAAUCCCUGCC